GUAGGUUUUAUAAAUCAUAAAGUGAUAAAACCAUAUCUCAUAUAUGCAAAGGGGAGAAAGUAUGGGUAAAAUUGUAAAGUUUGUUUAUUUUAUGAUUAUCUUUAUCUCUCCAUUUGUUGUUGCAAACCAUGCAAUAAGCGGAUUGCUCCCAAAACUUCCUUUUGGUUGUUGUACUUCUAAUCUUGAUUGUCCAAGGCAUAUGUGCACACAUCCUCAACAACCUUGGUGUAUCUUCUAUGGUAAUCGUAUUAUGUAUCGUGGAUCUAGGCUAGGUAUCUGUAAAUGUUCUUGAGUGUUGUGCUCGUAACAUUCUACUAGAAAAUGUAAAAAAUACAAAUUAUUGGGUUCUAAUACAAUUACUAUUUGUAUUUUUUACAUUUUCUAUUUUCACGAACCAUAUAGCUUUGGUUUUGUACUCUAGGAUGAUUGUAAUGCCAUUGUUUUUUAUUAAGAGUAUUUUGUACUAAAUAGCGUCGCUAAGUCAAUAUAAUUUGUGUCCGCGUGUGUGCACAUGUA